GGCAAGAUGACCGAGUGGUUAAGGUGCCAGAUUUAAGCUCUGGUGGCGAAAGCCGCGGGAGUUCGAACCUCCCUCUUGUCA